rnacentral:lncRNA from 1 species
CGGAGCUAUUUCUGCUGUCAAGAUUUACUUUCGAUAGAAUAUGGAUAUAAAUAUCUCUCCGACCUAAGACCACCACAGUGACUUGCAAGCAACUCACUGCACUUAGGUACUAGACUACCUAAAUUUUUAAUUCAGUGACGGAAGGAUGCUGGGUGUAGUCAAGUACUUGACUUGUCGGUGCGUGUGUCAAGAUAGGAUUGACCACUCCAGUUUAGGAGCUGUGUACAGUCGUAUUUCAAUUUUGCAAAACCUUGG